rnacentral:lncRNA from 7 species
GGCGGUAACAGCGGCUUAUCGGCUUCCCCACUCCGCUCCGUCCCGUCUGGGGACGAUGGGGGGGGCAGAUUUGGGGUCACCCCACACCCCCCCCCUCCACCCCGAACCCCCAUCCCCGCACAGCGCCGCAAAAGGGAGAGAAAGAAACGGCUUUGGGGCCCCUUUGCCAAAACCCCAUUUCCAUCACAGGCCGUUUUUGGGACCCCUCACCCCCCGACCGACCCCCAAAGCCAUUUUGCCCCCUUCCCCCCCCCCCAUUCCUGCGGGUUAUUCAUUCCGAAGCCGACAGCCGUGUAAACAGACGGCACUUCUCGCUGCCAUUGACGCGUCCUCACCGCGCUCCUUUAUUCGCAUUCAAACAGCCCGAAAAGGGGGAAAGAAAACCAACACAGCUCCGAACCCAAACAAAAGCAGCCGCCGCGCCGAGGAGGAGCGGAGCUUUCGGGUCGGCUGCAAUAAAACGCCUUUCCUCCUUUCCGGGCUCUUUCCGAGCCGUUCUCUCGCCGAACGCCGCUCUGUCGUUCCUCGCAUCGUUUUGCCAUCUCGAGGCUCUCGGAAGGAGGGGCCUCACCCCGAUCUCACCCCCAUCCAUCACCCCGACAGCCCGCGCCCGUGGGGCCUCUCGCCCUUUUCAUCUCCCUGUUUGUAUGCGGCCGCCCGCUGCAGUCCCGCACAAUGCGGCCCCGCAGCAUCGCCUCCCCGAGCCCGCAGCCCGCGGCUGCAUCCCGCAUCCCAUAUCCCGCAUCCCAUAUCCCGCAUCCCACAUCCUGCAUCCCAUAUCCGGCAUCCCAUAUCCUGCAUCCCAUAUCCGGCAUCCCAUAUCCUGAACUCCAUAUCCUGCAUCCCAUAUUCUGCAUCCCAUAUCCUGCAUCCCAUAUCCGGCAUCCCAUAUCCUGCAUCCCAUAUCCUGUAUCCCAUAUCCUGAAUUCCAUAUCCCGCAUCCCAUAUCCUGUAUCCCAUAUCCCGCAUCCCAUAUCCCACAUCCUAUAUCACGCAUCCCAUAUCCCAUAUCCUGCAUUUCAUAUCCGGCAUCCCAUAUCCUGCAUCCCAUAUCCCGCAUCCCAUAUCCCACAUCCCAUAUCCCGCAUCCCAUAUCCGGCAUUCCAUAUCUGGCAUCCCAUAUCCAGCAUCCCAUAUCCGGCAUCCCAUAUCCUGCAUCCCGUAUCCGGCAUCCCAUAUCCUGAAUCCCAUAUCCGGCAUCCCAUAUUCUGCAUCCCAUAUCCGGCAUCCCAUAUCCCAUAUCCUGCAUUUCAUAUCCGGCAUCCCAUAUCCUGCAUCCCAUAUCCCGCAUCCCAUAUCCCACAUCCCAUAUCCCGCAUCCCAUAUCCGGCAUCCCAUAUCCAGCAUCCCAUAUCCCGCAUCCCAUAUCCCGCAUCCCAUAUCCUGCAUUCUGCAUCCCACAUCCUUCAUCCCAUAUCCUGCAUCCUAUAUCCUUACUCACCUUUGCACACCAUUGCACACCAUUGUCUGCCCUCACACAUCCUUGCACACCUUUGCACCUCCUUGCAAAUCACACACCCUUGCACACCUUUGCACAUCCUUGCACACCUUUGCACAUCCUUGCAAACCCCUGCUCACCUUUGCACACCACUGCACACCGUUGUCUGCCCUCACACAUCCUUGCAUACCUUCUCACCUCCUUGCAAAUCACACACCCUUGCACACCUUUGCACGUCCUUGCAGACCAUUGCACGUCACCGCCCGCCCUUGCACACACAGCAGCACGCCAAGGGCCGGUGUCUCUGUGCAACGCACACACGGCGUGGCUGCGCACAGAUGCAGUGCACCCCGGGGAAUCCACUGCCAAAGAGGCGGAAUUGGACGGCCGUGGUGGGAGCUGCCCCUCUGCAAAGACGCACCGCCAACGCUUUGCACACCCAGCAGCGGAUUUCGGGGCGCACAGCGGUGCGUUUUGGCCUCACUGCUGGCCCAGCCCGGCCCGGCCCUUUGCUUUUGCUGUUAUCCCACGUGGAACCCCCCCCAGGAGCCGCUCACCCCCAGCAUUUCGGACAUCCCCACCCCCAAACCCUCCCCUCCAAGCUGAAGUCUCUCCCUGCACCACCGCAUCCCCAACAGCAGCGCCGCAGAACAAAGCGCCAUAAAUAA